AAACCAUAAUGAGCCCCAAAGGCCAAUGCUGAAGAUAUCAACACUGAAGCGGUAAGCUGGUGCUGAGAAAGAAGCAGAGGAAAUGGAGAAAGAUAUCCCAAGAAGAACAAAAACUGAAGGAGGGGAUAUCACAGAAACUAAAAAGAUCUCUGGAAUGUAGGAUUAUUUAUGAAGAUUCGUGUUUUUGACACGAAGACCACCACAGGAACAGAGGCCAAACAAACUCUUGGACCCCUUGUGACUCAUUGAAAGCAGGAGUUGUGUUUUCUUCCGAAGCAAUCAAGGACUCAAAGCUUGGUUUUGCAACAAAACAAAACAACAACAAAGAAGGACGCUUCAUUUAGGCCGGUGGAUGUCCAAAAAGUAACUGAAAGCGGAACAAAGCUUGGCCUUCAUUUCGCACCUGCAGCACUUGGGUCAGACCCUUGUUCAUCUCUGAAUGCAGAUAAAACUAUGCUGUGGAUGGAGACUGAAGAAUCUUUGGAACAUAGCUAAAUGGUAAAACCCUGUACUCUAUUUUCUAUCCUAAUGAAAAAUAGUCCCAAACGCCAGACCACAAUAGGAA
rnacentral:lncRNA from 1 species